UCUGGAGGUUAUAUCUUCAGAUAUUAUUCAAAGUCACCAUCUACAGAUUUGUUUAAGUCUGGUAAGGCCAAUUCUGUGGAAUCUCUUCCAGAAUUAUUGACAUCAGACUCUGAAGGAAGCUAUGCAGGAGUGGGUAGUCCUAGAGAGUUACAGUCCCCUGACUUCACAACAGGAUUUCUUCAGAUAAGAUUGAGGGGAGAAUUAAAUCGUAUAUUAAUGGUACACCUCCUACGAAUUCUAGGGAAGAUUUUAAACCAUGGGAAAAAUCACCAACACAUAAAAUAUCUGCUCCACAGCCCAUUCCCAGCAACAGAAUUGAUAAUACAAGCUCUUCCAGUUGGGUUGCUGGCUCUUUAAGUCCUGUUAGUCCUCCUGUUGUGGAUCUCAGAACCAUCAUGGAAACAGAAGAAAGUAGACAAAAAUGUGGAGCUACACCAAAGUCAAAUUUAGGAAAAAUGAUUUCCCAUGGAGUUAAACUUUCUCAGAAGCAACGAAAAAUGAUUGCAUUGACUAUCAAAGAAAGCAAUUCAGGAAUGAGUAGCAUGGAAACAGUUUUAACUACUCCUUCAAAGUCACCCAAACCAGCGAAUGCAUGGGCCUCUUCUGUACAUUCAGCUUCAUUCAAGUCAUUCCGGAGUUUCUUGCAAGAAGAAAAAAAAUCUGUUACUGGCCAUAGCUCAGGAGACCAUGUCAAGAAAGUUUGUUUUAAAGGGAUUGAAAAUUCUCAGGCUCCCAAAAUUGUAAGGUAAUAGUUACAGUUUAUUCUAUGGUGAUUUUGUGUUCUGAAAUGAUCUUUAAAAAAUUAUGAGGCAGACUUUUAUACAUUAUUAUACAUUCAAAAUUAAAAUUAGCACGACUGUUUUCUCCCUCUCUGUUUUUUCUUUUUAAUAACAGUUCUCUUAAGUAUUUGCUUUAUAACAAACUGCAUGUAUUUGGUGUAUACAGUUUGAAGUUUUGGCAUGUCUACACCCUUAAAAUCCUCAUCUCAAUCAUAUUGGGGAUCAUCAUUCUCAGAAUUUUCCAUGACCCUUCUCUUCAGCUACAAAUUUGCUUUUGUAAUAUAUAAUGUGUAUAAACAUGUGUAUUUUAGAGUUUUAUAUCAGUGGAACCAUACAGUAUGUACCCUUUCAUAAAAUUAGCAUUAUUGAGGCUCACUGAUCUAUAUUGUUAUGUGUAUCCAUUGUUGAUUCCAUUUUAUUGCUGAUUAGUAUUUCUCUGUAUGGACUUAC